rnacentral:rRNA from 1 species
CUAUACAUGCAGUCGAACGCGUUGGCCCAAUUGAUUGAUGGUGCUUGCACCUGAUUGAUUUUGGUCGCCAACGAGUGGCGGACGGGUGAGUAACACGUAGGUAACCUGCCCAGAAGCGGGGGACAACAUUUGGAAACAGAUGCUAAUACCGCAUAACAACGUUGUUCGCAUGAACAACGCUUAAAAGAUGGCUUCUCGCUAUCACUUCUGGAUGGACCUGCGGUGCAUUAGCUUGUUGGUGGGGUAAUGGCCUACCAAGGCGAUGAUGCAUAGCCGAGUUGAGAGACUGAUCGGCCACAAUGGGACUGAGACACGGCCCAUACUCCUACGGGAGGCAGCAGUAGGGAAUCUUCCACAAUGGGCGCAAGCCUGAUGGAGCAACACCGCGUGAGUGAAGAAGGGUUUCGGCUCGUAAAGCUCUGUUGUUAAAGAAGAACACGUAUGAGAGUAACUGUUCAUACGUUGACGGUAUUUAACCAGAAAGUCACGGCUAACUACGUGCCAGCAGCCGCGGUAAUACGUAGGUGGCAAGCGUUAUCCGGAUUUAUUGGGCGUAAAGAGAGUGCAGGCGGUUUUCUAAGUCUGAUGUGAAAGCCUUCGGCUUAACCGGAGAAGUGCAUCGGAAACUGGAUAACUUGAGUGCAGAAGAGGGUAGUGGAACUCCAUGUGUAGCGGUGGAAUGCGUAGAUAUAUGGAAGAACACCAGUGGCGAAGGCGGCUACCUGGUCUGCAACUGACGCUGAGACUCGAAAGCAUGGGUAGCGAACAGGAUUAGAUACCCUGGUAGUCCAUGCCGUAAACGAUGAGUGCUAGGUGUUGGAGGGUUUCCGCCCUUCAGUGCCGGAGCUAACGCAUUAAGCACUCCGCCUGGGGAGUACGACCGCAAGGUUGAAACUCAAAGGAAUUGACGGGGGCCCGCACAAGCGGUGGAGCAUGUGGUUUAAUUCGAAGCUACGCGAAGAACCUUACCAGGUCUUGACAUCUUGCGCCAACCCUAGAGAUAGGGCGUUUCCUUCGGGAACGCAAUGACAGGUGGUGCAUGGUCGUCGUCAGCUCGUGUCGUGAGAUGUUGGGUUAAGUCCCGCAACGAGCG